GUCACGCUGGCCUGGCAGCUCGGGGUGGCGGCGCUGCUGUCGCCGCUGGCCGCCCUGGUCCAUGGCGAUGCCUGGCUGCAGUCCUGGAGCCUGUUG
rnacentral:tRNA from 1 species